CGAUGAACCACUUCGGUGGGGAUUAGUGGCGAACGGGUGAGUAACACGUGGGCAAUCUGCCCUGCACUCUGGGACAAGCCCUGGAAACGGGGUCUAAUACCGGAUACUGAUCAACUGGGGCAUCCCUGGUGAUCGAAAGCUCCGGCGGUGCAGGAUGAGCCCGCGGCCUAUCAGCUUGUUGGUGAGGUAACGGCUCACCAAGGCGACGACGGGUAGCCGGCCUGAGAGGGCGACCGGCCACACUGGGACUGAGACACGGCCCAGACUCCUACGGGAGGCAGCAGUGGGGAAUAUUGCACAAUGGGCGAAAGCCUGAUGCAGCGACGCCGCGUGAGGGAUGACGGCCUUCGGGUUGUAAACCUCUUUCAGCAGGGAAGAAGCGAAAGUGACGGUACCUGCAGAAGAAGCGCCGGCUAACUACGUGCCAGCAGCCGCGGUAAUACGUAGGGCGCGAGCGUUGUCCGGAAUUAUUGGGCGUAAAGAGCUCGUAGGCGGCUUGUCGCGUCGGUUGUGAAAGCCCGGGGCUUAACCCCGGGUCUGCAGUCGAUACGGGCAGGCUAGAGUUCGGUAGGGGAGAUCGGAAUUCCUGGUGUAGCGGUGAAAUGCGCAGAUAUCAGGAGGAACACCGGUGGCGAAGGCGGAUCUCUGGGCCGAUACUGACGCUGAGGAGCGAAAGCGUGGGGAGCGAACAGGAUUAGAUACCCUGGUAGUCCACGCCGUAAACGGUGGGCACUAGGUGUGGGCAACAUUCCACGUUGUCCGUGCCGCAGCUAACGCAUUAAGUGCCCCGCCUGGGGAGUAC
rnacentral:rRNA from 1 species